UAGAAAUUGUUGAUACGAGGUAGUAGAUUGGCGUUGCUUUUCAGAAACUAAAUGGCCGCUGUGAAUUUAGACCAAUGCUAAUUGAACUAGUCGUAGAGAUCUUAACUGAAUCUCAGUAGGUUAAGACGUUUUCCGCGUUAAGGACUUGAGAUGUAUCUAUAUUUUAUAGAUAAACUUAGGUGGUACCGCGGAAUUUUCGUCCUAUAG
rfam:Lactobacillus kunkeei strain LAko contig006, whole genome shotgun sequence.